rnacentral:rRNA from 1 species
GAUGAACGCUAGCGACAGGCUUAACACAUGCAAGUCGAGGGGCAGCGGGGGAGUAGCAAUACUCCCGCCGGCGACCGGCGCACGGGUGAGUAACACGUAUGAAACCUGCCCGUAGCAGGGGGAUAAGCGGAAGAAAUUCCGUCUAAUACCGCGUAACAACCCUUGGAGGCAUCUCCCCGGGGUUUAAAGGAAGCGAUUCCGGCUACGGAUGGUCAUGCGUCGCAUUAGCUAGUUGGCGGGGUAACGGCCCACCAAGGCGACGAUCAGUAGCCGGCCUGAGAGGGUGAACGGCCACAUUGGGACUGAGACACGGCCCAA